UGAUUCUUAGUGGCGAACGGGUGAGUAACGCGUAGACAACCUGCCUUCUAGAUGGGGACAACACUGCGAAAGUGGUGCUAAUACCGAAUGUUGCAUUAAGCCUGCAUGGGCUUGAUACUAAAGGUGGCCUCUAUUUAUAAGCUAUCACUAGAAGAUGGGUCUGCGUCUGAUUAGCUAGUUGGUGAGGUAAUGGCUCACCAAGGCGAUGAUCAGUAGCCGGUCUGAGAGGAUGAACGGCCACACUGGGACUGAGACACGGCCCAGACUCCUACGGGAGGCAGCAGUGGGGAAUCUUCCGCAAUGGACGAAAGUCUGACGGAGCAACGCCGCGUGAGUGAAGAAGGUUUUCGGAUCGUAAAGCUCUGUCUUUGAGGACGAAUGUGUCUAAUGUGAAUAAUGUUAGAUAAUGACGGUACUCGAGGAGGAAGCCACGGCUAACUACGUGCCAGCAGCCGCGGUAAUACGUAGGUGGCAAGCGUUGUCCGGA
rnacentral:rRNA from 1 species